rnacentral:rRNA from 1 species
UAAGGAAUAUUGGACAGUGGAGGCAACUCUGAUCCAGCCAUGCCGCGUGAAGGAAUAAGGCCCUAUGGGUUGUAAACUUCUUUUAGACGGGACAAAACCCCUUUACGUGUAAAGGGUUGAUGGUACUGUCAGAAUAAGCAUCGGCUAACUUCGUGCCAGCAGCCGCGGUAAUACGAAGGAUGCAAGCGUUAUCCGGAAUUAUUGGGUUUAAAGGGUGCGUAGGCGGACUAAUAAGUCAGUGGUGAAAGCCUGCAGCUUAACUGCAGAAUUGCCAUUGAUACUGUUAGUCUUGAGUACAGUUGAGGUAGGCGGAAUGUGUCAUGUAGCGGUGAAAUGCUUAGAUAUGACAUAGAACACCAAUUGCGAAGGCAGCUUACUACGCAAUCAUUGACACUGAGGCACGAAAGCGUGGGUAGCGAACAG